UUUUUAUUUUUUUAGACAUUGUCUUGCUCUGUCACCCAGGCUGGAGUGCAGUGGAGCCAUCGUAGCUCACUUCAGCCUUGACUGGGCUCAAACAAUCUGCUUGCCUCAGUCUCCCCGAUGUAGUUGGGACCACAGGCACACACCACCACAUCUGGCUAAUUUUGUUGUAGUUGCUUUUUUGUAGAGAUGGGGGUCUUGCCAUGUUGCCCAGGCUGGUCUCGAUCUCCUGGGCUCAUGAAAUUCUUCCCUUUGCCUCCCUAAGUGCUGGGAUUCUGGGUAUAAGCCACCAUGCUCAGCCAGCCUGGGGGUUGGAUGUGGCAGUGGUGGUAGGGAUACCAAGGGGAGCAAAAGAGGAAGUCCCAGUGCAUAAGCACUUUUUUUUUUUUUGAGACGAAGUCUCGCUCUGUUGCCCAGACUCUCUGAAUCCAGGUGAUGAGAAGUCACACAUCCCUGCUAGAAAUCAGAGUCCACAUCCCUUUCAAGCACCCAGGAUUAAGCCCAGGCAUCCCCUGCCACAGUCUGGACCCUCAAGCCCCCUCCCACCUCUCACUGGGCAGACUCAGGGGGUGCCAGUACAGCCUCAGCAUCAGCCCGCAUCUCAUCCAGAGCCUGCAGCAGUACGCCGUGAGCCGCUCGGUAGCCCAGGCCACCUGUCGCCGCUGCGCCACCCGCAGGCCACAGGAAGGAGAGAGCACCCAGUGCUGCGCCCCCAGCAGUGCCCUCGCCGCCCAGGAGCCCAGCCUUGCCGACCUCGGCGUCACCGGGCCUGGGAAAUGAGCUGCCAGCUCCCCAGGAGCCAGGCCCAGGGCACGCUCACGUCGAGCCAGUGCCGCGGGUUCCAGUCCCAGGCCCCGUCGCCACUCCGCCAGCUGACCCCGCAUGAAGUGCCACGUCGCAUGCCCAGCCCAGCCCUGGGAGUGGUGCCGCCGCCGCUGCUAGACUAGCCAGCAGAGCUGGCCUCCACGCCCGGCCCGCGCGCAGCCUUGGUUCGGGCAGCACUGGGAGAUGCUGGUGGCAGUGCCAGCAGCAGCGCCCCUGCCUGGGCUGGGGGGAGCGCUUGCCGCAGCCAUUCGCAUAGCCCUGGGAGUCCACCAGGCCGUAGGGGGAACACUGGCGGCCGUGCCUCCUCCAACACCUCCCACGUCUCGUCCUCCGGGCUUAACACGGCGGCACGCUCUGAGUCGCCACCACCUGAUUUCUUCAUGCCGACAACCUGCUGCAAACCCUCGCUGCCAGCUUUCUCAGGACCUUCCCCGCUGCCUGCUUUCUGCGAUCCAGCGCUACAUUUCUCCCUUCCCUUACUGAGUGCAUUCUCCAAUCCCCCUCCGCCUGCGUUCUUUAAGCUCUCGCCGUUGGGUUUCUCCAUCUUUCCUUCUCCCAAAUACUCCGGAUCCUCGCCCUCGCCGUCUGUGCGCACGCAGACAAGAGGCGCAUCUGGUAGCACCAAGGCCUGGACCUGGGCCCAGUCCUUCUCAGUGGGGGCCCCAGGGGUGACGAGGAUGAGGGCGUCGUAGUGCGUUGGGUGAGAGGCUGCGGCCGCGGUGGUGGCAGUGCCCGUGGGACCCAGAGGCACAGUCCAGAGCACCACAUUCG
rnacentral:lncRNA from 1 species